CAACAGGAUGGCUGGAUGGCUUGGUACAGAAACUCCAAAGAAGAAAGGUAGACGAUGUAUGGAAAUAUGGGAAAGAAAGGAUAGCGACACUAGGAUUAGGACCUCUCCUAGAUUUGUUCAAAGGCGUGCUAGGGUUAGUACCUCCCUUAGACUUAUGGAGAAGAAAGGAGAGAUGGGGGAAAUAGCUCGGAGAGAAACUUAGGGUUGGCUUGAUA
rnacentral:lncRNA from 1 species